GAGCAAGAGUAGAUAACUUUUACUAAGUGGGAGAAAUUAUAAGUCCUAUCCAAAAAGAGACAAAUUAUCCUAUCUCUUGAAAUAGGAGAAUAAUACUUAUACAAUAAGAGAUACCUUACGAAAGAAACUAUAUUUCCUCUUUAUAUUUUCUCACUCUCUAGAGACUCUAAUUAUUGUUGUUGUGUUACUACUUGAUGAGAUAAUUGAAAUGGUGCAAAUGAAAUGAUUAUUUAUAGGAUGGGUAAACCAU
rnacentral:lncRNA from 1 species